UCGGAAGCUCAUCCGCUGGGCCUUGGCAAGCGAUGGAUAGUGGUGACCUUCGUGCUGACCGUCCAGCUCUGUCACGGGUUCCGAGCAGGCGGUCUCGACGGCGUGGUCGUCACAGUACCUGCAAGAACUGAUCUCGUUACCACGUCCUCGAGGAGAUUGGGCGGCUCCACUCUGGUUCCAGCAUUGUGGGCCUGCAUGAAUUCGAAC
rnacentral:lncRNA from 1 species